rnacentral:lncRNA from 1 species
GCAAGCAUUUGACUGUAUAAGAAGGGAUACUCAUCUCAGUUGUAUUAAUGUAAAGAUAGUAGCAGGCAACAGAAGAUAAUUUCAUACAUUUUAUCAUUUGGUCAUUUUGAGUGCUUUCACCUCUACUUUCUUGCUGAAGCUGUGCUGCUAUUUACCUAUAGUUAAAAAGUUACAGAACAAAAGUAUAGGCCCAAGUUAUCUGCUUCUUCUAUACAACUGGCUCAACAGGACUUUGCAUCUCUCUUGGUUGUCAUAUGUCUAAACCACCCAUCCAAACUCCUGGAAUUGAAACUCUGGCAUCCUUAUUAAGCAGUUCUAAUUCACCUACCGAUGGAAUUUUUCCUGUAAAGUGUGAUGCAUCUAUACAGUGUAAGACCAUGACUCCUCGAUCUUUUUCUCAUGGCAGAGGAAAGUUUCCCAUUAGAAUGCAACUCCGAUGGACUGGAUAGCUGUGUGCCCACCCUUGAAGCUGUAAGCAUCCUGGACACCCAUUCCAGAAGGAUGUUUUUGUCAGAUGGAGAUUCCACUUUAGGAAAAUAUUAAAACAAAGAUUUCAAAGGGGCUUCAGAAAAUGCUUAAAGGCCGUAGACCAAAUGCUGUUUUGCUGUCUGAAGAGAUCUCAGCAAAGGGGCAGUAGUUAAAGAGGAACGAUUACAUUGUAAAAAGCCAUAAAACCUUCCAGGAUUCAGAGUCUCAGGGGAAAGCAGAAAGGAACCCAAGACGAAGUCACACAUUGUGGAUCCAUAGAGCCCGACAUCACUAGACUGUGUUGCCAAGAUGGCAUGGCUCAGGCAUCACUACUGGAAGUGCUGGCACUUACCUCUGGGAAAUCAGUGGGACUCACUGUGGAGCAAAGCAUUGUCAGCAAGUGCUGCUUCACAGAUCUGCCUGUUUGAGUUAUAGAAGGAUGCCAGGACCACGCUGUCCUUCAUUACGUGAUGGAGACUCGGUUGCUCUUACAGAAACUCUGAAUCCUGCUGGCUGCUGUAAAGAAAUGAGAAGGAAGUUUCAGUCUUCCAGUUGGAGAGGAGUGACACAGAUGUUUAAGACGCAAGCAGCUUAGAUGUAACACAUUGUAAUAAAGUGUUGCCGUGCUAGGCAAAUGUAUGAGAAUGAUGAAUUCAGUAGUACGCGAGAAGAGGUCAGAUGCUGCAUUGAGUAUCUUCCGUGAGCGAGGAAAUGCUGAACUUCAGCUCAGUAUAUCACUGCUGAAGCUGUGCCCGGCCAUGGGAGAUGACAAGCAGUUGCUACCAGCCAAGCUUUAAAUUAGGAGAGAAGAACCUUUUUCAUUACAUUCCAAAGAAUUGUGAAAGAUGUGGAAAUCACUGCUUGGAAAACUGUACUUCUACAGGGAGCUGAGUGAAGUCCUACUGAUUCUCACUGCAAUGAAGUACUCAGGACACUUUUUUUGAGCCCACCACUACAGUCAUCACAAAGACAACACUUAGUCCAAGAAGAUUCUAGGCCUUCUUCAGAAGGUGCUGCUAAUUCCCCUAUUUUCUUCCAGAAAUGGGAAAAAUGAUCUAUAUUAGGAAAUGCGUUCUUCCUUUCUUCAUAUUUUGAAUUACGGCGCUAGGAAAAUAUUUCUCAAGUGGUUAACUUGAGUUUGACUUCCAACAUCUCUUUAUUUGGGAAGAAAUGAAUUCAAUGGUUCUUUUUAGCACUUGUGAAAAUGAAGGAUAGUUGUGCCUGCACUACAAGAAAGGUGAUUUAGUCGCUCUACUUGAUCAGUACUUUUUGAGGGAGACUUGCCAAAUUCAUCGGUGCUGAUCUGGAAGCCAAAAUAGAUAUCCAUGUGUUUUGAAGAGCGGAAAUGCUGGAACGCAGCUGGAAAGCGGCUCAGGGCUCCUGCCAGUCAUACCGGCUCACCACUAAGAGGGCACAGAUCUCAUGACUGCUAUCCUGAGAAACCUGCUGUCUGCCAG